UAGAUCUCCUACCUUAGUCUUUGGUUCUAAGAACCUUCAUUGAUUCCAAAUCCGACGCACCCUUUUAUCUGGAAAAGCAGCCUUUGGUUCUAAUUCAAUAACCUGUCGACUCAAGUCCUCAUCAUGUUGGACAGUAUAUUACCUGCCUAAUUGUCGUAGAACUCUAUGCGGGGCAUAAAUCUAGAUGCUGCGGAGACCCAUCAAUAAAAGAAAACACACCUCGACCGACAUAUAAAUGACUUCACUGACUGAGAGCCACCUGAAUGUCCAUUCAAUCUUGUUUGCAGUCAGGGAGCUUAGGUGUGCAAACCAUGCUUUCGUACAUUCCAAGAAUUUAUGGCUCUCCACCCGUUUUUCAUGUUUUCAAUGCAUUCAAGACCGAUCAUGCCAUAGUUCAUGUACCCCAGACGGUGGCAAAGGUGUUCCUCAUCCAGAGUUGCAGAAGCAUAUUGAGUCCUUCAAAAAAAAUUUCCCCUCCUCGACAGACGGUUAGAGCUCGGUAAAUCUCCACCAAGAUCAUUGGUACAAUUGUUCCAUUUGCCUUUUUAGUCAUGAAAUCGGCUAUCCCCACAAGCCCCAAAUCUAUGUUUCCAUCUUUUCUUGGACAAAUCAGAACACCUAGGAACUCCACUAUAAAAGCUAAUCCUCACCGAGCUUCCCACUUAUCUUUGUUCCCCGAGUGAGUAAACCCGAUAUCUAUCAUCUCAAAACUGUGGGAAUUUCCAUAACGUCGGUACAAGAAAUAGAAUGUGCAUAAUCCCUGGGCCAAAUUUUCGUCUUGAACUUCCUGAAUGAUGCUGAGCAAGUCCAGAAACUUAUGAGGAGUCACUAUUCUAG
rnacentral:lncRNA from 1 species